AACGAACGCUGGCGGCAGGCUUAACACAUGCAAGUCGAACGCACCUUUCGGGGUGAGUGGCAGACGGGUGAGUAACGCGUGGGAAUCUACCCUUCUCUACGGGAUAGCUCCGGGUAACUGGAAUUAAUACCGUAUACGUCCUGAGGGAGAAAGAUUUAUCGGGGAAGGAUGAGCCCGCGUUGGAUUAGCUAGUUGGUGGGGUAAAGGCCUACCAAGGCGACGAUCCAUAGCUGGUCUAAGAGGAUGAUCAGCCACAUUGGGACUGAGACACGGCCCAAACUCCUACGGGAGGCAGCAGUGGGGAAUAUUGGACAAUGGGCGCAAGCCUGAUCCAGCCAUGCCGCGUGAGUGAUGAAGGCCCUAGGGUUGUAAAGCUCUUUCAGUGGGGACGAUAAUGACGGUACCCACAGAAGAAGCCCCGGCUAACUUCGUG
rnacentral:rRNA from 1 species